rnacentral:lncRNA from 1 species
GCCCUUCGAUCCAGCCUAUCCACGUCCCUCUGUAGAGCCUUUCUAUCCUCUGGCAGAUCAACACUCCCUCCCAUCUUGGUGUCGUCUGCAAACUUACUGAGGGUGCACUGAAUCCCCUCAUCAAGAUCUUUGAUAAGGAUGUUGAAUAGAAGAGGCCCCAGCACCAAGCCCUGGGGACACUGCUCAUGACUGACCGCCAACUAGAUUUAACUCCAUUGACCACAACUCUCUGGGCCUGGCCAUCCAGCCAGUGUUUCACCCAUUUUCCUGCAAUGCUGGUGGACAUCUGCAAUGGUACCGCUGGGAAUAUUUCAGGAACAGGAAAACUUAGUGACAUGUGCUCCUGCCGCUUCUUUGUUUGCUGCCUGCUGCAUGUACCUAGACUGACAAGAAAACUGUGUGCUGAAGGCAUCCUGAAGAAAGAGAGAUCUGAAGACUGCUGUGCUGUAGGGAGCUCACGUUGACUUUAACUUGGCAGAAAAUUCACAAAUUCUACAACUACAUCCUUGAAAGAGGAGAAGGGGAUGGGGCCCUUCUACAUGUGUAUGUAGAAACUGCUGAAGCUGUGAAGUUUGAUGGUUGCCUACAAUAUAGCCAUGAUGAUAUCAAGCUAAAUAUUUUGCUGUAUGAAGACAGAACUGGCCCCUUCUGGGUAAGUGUCUAGCAAGUAUUUAAAAGCCAGAGCCUUAUAAACAGCUUUUGAUGAUGGACUCUAAUGAAGGGAGUGGGAGACCAUUUAGACAUAUCUGCAUUUUGCCACAGGAGUCAAUAUUGACCUACAUAAAGUGACAAAAUAUUUCAAAACCAUACCUUAUUUUCUCCCAUUUCUGAAUUUUCCUUUCAUAAUUAAAUUUAUAUUGAAGCCUUCCCUGAUGAACAAGUUAAAAACUGACAUCUCCCAGGUAGGCACAGAGCGUACAGAGGAUAUGGAAAUUCCUCUUUUUCUCUCAGACCUACCUGGUGAGGGACCUAUCUCUGAGAAGAUUUGCUUUCUCAGACUUAACACAAUCUUCUCCAAGACCACCAAGCACACUGUAUCUUCCUCCUUUCAAGAGUAUUGAUGAUGUUUUUUUUGUUUGUUCACAAUGUUCAAACUUUUCUGUAAGAUCUUUAAUUAAUGUAGGGCACUGAAAAGUAACAAUACUGAUGAAUAGGUUUGAAAAACUUUCUGAUGUCAAGAAAUUUGCCCUUUCAACUUAUGACGUAAUUCUUAUUGGUUGUCUGUGCUUGGUUGUUCAGUUUGCACUGGUACUUGAUAUAGUUUCUGGCUUUCCAAUUGAUAGGCAAGUGUAAUCAGACAAAACAAAAUUGUAGGAGAUCUUUGUAAAGGAGAACUUAAUUUGCUUUCAGGGGGAUUCUGAAGUCUAGAAUUGAAUUUGCUGUUCCUGAUAAAACAUUUUUGACCACUCUAGUGGUUACAUAAAUUUACAAAUACACACAGACCAUAUUUUCUCUUUAAGAUACAAAUAAGGAUAUGAAGUGCUUUCUUUUACAUUUUUACUAUUUGCUCAGCUGUGU